UGUGGUCUAAACAUCAAAAUCAACUCCUGCUUGAAAGAAAGGAGAAAUCCAUACGCCUGGCAGGGGAUGCAAGGUGUUGCUCACCUGGACACACAGCCAAGUAUGGAAGCUACACCUUGAUUGAUGUGGACACAAACCAUGUUUUGGACAUCCAGUUGGUACAGUCGAAUGAGGUGGCCAAUUCUAAUGCCAUGGAACUUGAGGGAUUAAAAAGGGGCCUUGCAUUUCUUCAGGCAGCCAGGGUGGAUGUUUCAGACAUCAUUACAGACAGGCACACGCAAAUUAAAGCCUACUUAAGGAAGGAGGAAGCUGGCAUUCACCACUGGUUUGAUGUAUGGCAUGUAGCUAAAGGCAUUUACAAGAAACUUCAAAAAAUCAGCAAAAAGAAAGGCCUGGAAAUAAUCAGCUUGUGGGCACAUUCCAUUUCCAAUCACCUAUAUUGGUGUGCUGCAACCAGCAAGGGCAAUGC